CCUACGGGUGGCAGCAGUCGAGAAUCAUUCACAAUGGGGGAAACCCUGAUGGUGCGACGCCGCGUGGGGGAAUGAAGGUCUUCGGAUUGUAAACCCCUGUCAUGUGGGAGCAAAUUAAAAAGAUAGUACCACAAGAGGAAGAGACGGCUAACUCUGUGCCAGCAGCCGCGGUAAUACAGAGGUCUCAAGCGUUGUUCGGAAUCACUGGGCGUAAAGCGUGCGUAGGCUGUUUCGUAAGUCGUGUGUGAAAGGCGCGGGCUCAACCCGCGGACGGCACAUGAUACUGCGGGACUAGAGGAAUGGAGGGGGAACCGGAAUUCUCGGUGUAGCAGUGAAAUGCGUAGAUAUCGAGAGGAACACUCGUGGCGAAGGCGGGUUCCUGGACAUUAACUGACGCUGAGGCACGAAGGCCAGGGGAGCGAAAGGGAUUAGAUACCCUAGUAGUC
rnacentral:rRNA from 1 species